CUUUAUUAGGGGUGUCACCUGCCCAAUGCUUUGAAAUAACUUAAAUUAAUUUAAGAAAACCAAAGUCAAUGGCCGCGGUAUUUCUGACCGUGAUAAUGUAGCGAAAUCAAUCGUCACUUAAUUGCUGACCGGUAUGAAUGGUAGUACGAAUGUUCCCCUGUCUCUAGAAAAGGGCCCAUGAAAUUGUAGGGAUUGUGAAUAUACAAUCCAAUUCUUGUAAGACGAAAAGACCCUAUUGAGCUUUACUAUAGGUUCCCCUUAAAUCUAAAGGUUUGACCUAACCGGAAACCCUUUAUUAGGGGGAACCAGGUAGUUUCGUUGGGGCGACGGCCUCCCACAAAGUAACGGAGGCUAACAAUAAUAUUUUCAUAAUGAAAAUUGUUUGACUGCUAGGGCUAUUACCCGCGCAGACAUCCAUGUGGGUCAUAAGUUUCCACCUUUAAUAAUUAGAGGUGCAUAAAUAUAAAAGUUACCAUAGGGAUAACAGCGUAAUUUUACCGAAGAGUUCUUAUCGAUGGUAAAGAUUGCGACCUCGAUGUUGAAUUGCGGUAUCCUGAGGGUGCAGCCGCUCUC
rnacentral:rRNA from 1 species